GCCGAAACAAGCGCCCUUGUUUCCCUUCCCCUCAUGAGUCCGGAGGUUCCACGAGUCACCCGCUUGGGGCGCAGCAGCGACGUUAUUAGUGCGGAUUACUACGACAGAGAUAAUUAUUACCUCAUUCUACUAGUAAAGUUACAGGCUGCUUCCCCGGCUGACGUACAGACGCUGGACAGAUAAGUGCAGGAGCUGAAGUUGAGACAAAGGGAUGAGAAAGCUGCAAUGAGGCAAAUAGAUCCACAUUUUAUUGACUGCUAGAAAGGAUUUUCCAGCCUUACAAGACUCUCGGGGCUGUGAUGGUUGCUAGGGACCAGCUUAUGCAGCAACCAGAUGUACUUGUAAUAUAUCAUUUAUUCCUUUAUCCGCUCAUUCUGCACUCUGGAUUCUUUUUUUUUACAAGAACACUUUAAAACUGGUUAAUGUAAGUGCAACAUAGUGGAUUUAGCCAUUCAGAUGCAAAUUGCCAUGUUUUUUACACCACAAUACAGUCUUCUUUUUCUUCAGUUACAGUGCACUUAGUGCAAAUCACUUACAAGUUUGUUAUGGAUUCAAUUCUCACAGGAUUUGUAUCUCACUUGCACAUAAUUCAUCACAUCAGGCUGAAGGCCGGGCACAAGAAGCAUUUGUGACUGUGUAGUGUCAAUGCACAAUCCAUUUUGCUUCCAAAAUAAUGUUUUGCACUUGUGUGAGAUCAUCAAUGUGGCGUAUUAUACUGUAUGUGAGUGUUUAGAUUAUCAUCUUUGCUUGAACUUCCUUUGAAACAGGAGGAGGCGCCUGGCUCUGCCCUAGUCUAAUAAUGACACAAUCUUGGAACAUUUACCCAGUGUCUCCUAUUGUGUGCAGCUGCUGAAAGUCUGCUGAAUGAUAAAUCUGCCCAAAUGCUGGAGCAGUCGGCACACGGCCUAGAGAAAGAAGUGCAAGGGACCAACAUCAGCAGCCAUGACACCCACAGGGAGUUUUAUCUCUAUGACCCCAGAACCCUGAUAUAGGACGUGGACCACCCAUCUUGAGAAUCCAGCCCCAGGCAAAGCACCAGCUUUGUUAUGUCUGUAUAUGCCAGUGGGUACAUCAGUAUACAGACUACAUUCAAUGAUGGGGAAUGGAGGGAGAUUCCCAGGAAUGACCAUUAGAAACAGAAUCUCUAACCCGUUAAUCCAGUGUGAGAAUGCUUGGUGGAGCAGCUGUACCCACAAGAGGACUGGCACGUGUCACUCACAGAUGAAGGAGUAUCACAGAAGGCGACCACUCCAGCACCAACGGGAGGAAAGAAAAAAGAAUGAGAUCCUGAUAACCUGGCACAGCUCUCUCCAGAGCCAACUGAGAAUCACUGCAGACAGAUUUCCAGCAUUAGAUGCUCCAGCUACUGUUGAACUACAAAUCCCACAAUCCCUGGAUGUUGUUGGGAGAUAAGAAUCCCAGGCAGCAUAAAAGAAGAUGAUGAUGAUUGGUUGAAGAAUGGGAUGGUAUAUUCCACUGUGUCUCACAGCAGGGGGGGGGGCAUUGAUGGUAAUGUUUCAGCCAUGAGACGUCUAUUCCAUUUAUGAAACACAAAGGUAAAAUUCAACCAUUAUUCAUUAUAUUCUCCUAAAAUCCCAGCUUGAAGGUCAGUUAAAGUGAGAUUUGGGUAAAAGCUAAUAGUUACAUACGACUGUAACCUUGAUAUGAGCAAUGGGGGUAGGUGAAAUGUUGGGUCUUAAAGAGGGGCUUGAAGUCUAAACUCCACUGAUCUAGAGAUACUGCUCCUUAUUUCUGUAGGUAGAGAGCAGAGCAGGCAGUAACCCUUUCACCAUUUCACAUUAUCUCUGUCCAUAUAUAUUAGGUACCUACCUAGUACUACCAACCCCUAUUUCUGCAGGGGAAUUAGAGCAGAGCAGGCAGUAACCCUCAGUUCCCUGUAUAACUCAGCCUGCAGCCUUGUGCCUUUAUAUGGUUACA